AACGGCAAUAACAGUCGUUACACAAGUGUGGGUAAAGAAAUAACUUAAGAAAACAAUUUAUUUAAUAAUACUUAUUACCUAGAUCAUUUUUUAAACAGAAUCGUCUAACAAUUUGUAAUUCUUAAACGUUUUAACGUAAUAUGUGAAAAUAAGCUUCCGGUUAUACGACUUCAUUAGGGGCUUCCGCUUCUGGUAAAGCAGAACAAUUUAAACGAAGAUUGAAAAGAGGAGCCAUGCAUGCAUUCAACACGGAUCAUGGUGGGUGUCGGAGCGGUCUCUCCUGUCGUCCUUUAGGGAUCCCUCACAGUGAAGCAUGAGGAUCAGAGUACAGCUGGACUGUGGAAGUCUGUCUUUCUCCUACCCGGUCGACAGAAUCUCCACAAGUUCACACAUCUAUGGAGACGUGUUCACCUACUUCUGUAAUCUGGAUGAAGACACACACCACCCUCUGAAGCUGCUACCAGAAUAUGUCUGUACGUGUGGAACCUUUUUUUCUUUUUCAACAGUUACCUUCAGAAUUGACUUCGGGUUACUUUUUUUGCAUGCAUUUUCUGAGGGCUUCUGAAAUUGUCAAAUGUAAUUAUAUAUGCAAAACCUGUGCAGCCACAUACUGUAGUUUUAUGUUCCUCAGAUGUUAAUCCAGAUCAGAACGGUUUCUGUUCAGAUUGAUGUUUGCUAAUUUCCCUUGAGCCUUUUGCAUUGUGUUUCUGAUUAAAAUAAGUUUGAGAUUUUCAACAAACAAGAGGCCGGGUCUAUAUCUGCAUAUAAACUCAACCAUUUGUUUCUUGUAUAGAUAUAGUCUACUACAAGUUUGAAUGCAUGACCAAAGGUAUGUGGACACAUUCUCGUCAAACAGCUUAUUAGUCCCCUCCUUGCUGAUUUAACAGCCUCAACUCUUCUAGGAAGACUUUCCACUAGAUGUAGAAACAUUUCUGCAGGGACUUGCUUCCAUUCAGUCACGAGCAUUCUUGAGGUCAGGCUCUGUUGGGCGACUAGGCCUAGCUUGCCGUCAGCACUCUAAUUCAUACAAAGGUGUUUGACGAGGGUUAAGUUCUUCCACACCGAUCUUGACAAACUAUUUCUGUAUGGGGUGGCAGAGUAGCCUAGUGGUUAGAGCGCUGGCCUAGUAACCGAAAGGUUGCAAGUACAAAUCCCCGAGCUGACAAGGUACAAAUCUGUCGUUCUGCCCCUGAACAGGCAGAUAACCCACUGUUCCUAGGGCGUCAUUGCAAAUAAGAAUGUGUUCUUAACUGACUUGCCUAGUUAAAUAAAGGUAAAAUACAAAUAAAUGGAGCUCGCCUUGUGCACAGGGGCAUUGUCAUUCUGAAAAGGGAAAGGGCCUUCCCCAAACUUACCAGAAAGUGGGAACUACAGAAUUGUCCAGAAUGUUAACCAUUGUAUGCAGUAGAGGUAAGAUUUCCCUUCUAGAACUAAGGGGUCUAGCCCAAACAUGUAAAACAACCCCAAACCAUUAUUCCUCCACCAGACUUUACAGUUGGCAUUGGGGCUUGUGGUGUUUUCCUGGCAUCUGCCAAAUGCAGAUUUGUCUGUUGGACUGACAUGGUGAUUCGGCACUCCAGAAAACGCGUUUCCCCUGCUCCAGAGUCCAAUGCUGGCGAGCUCUACACCACUCCGGCCGAGUUUGGCAUUGCGAUCUUAGGCUUGUGUGGCUGCUUGUCCAUGGAAACCCAUUUCAUGAAGCUCCCGUCAAACAGUUCUUCUGCAGAUGUUGCGUCUAGAGGCAGUUUGGUAGUGAGUGUUGCAACCGAAGACGGACUAUAUAAUUUUACGCGCUUGAGCUGUUGCUCCUAGACUCUUCCACUUUACAAUAACAGCACUUACAGUUGACUGGGGCAGCUCUUGCAUGAACUGACUUGUUGGAUAGGUGGCAUUCUAUGACGGUGCCAUGUUGAAAGUAACUGAGCUCUUCAGUGAGGCUAUUCCACUGCCAAUGUCUGGCUAUGGAGAUUGCCUGGCUGUGUGCUCGUAAAAAAAACACUUUUUUUACUUACCUGACAGCAACGGGUGUGGCUGAAAUGUCCACAUACUUUGUGUAUAGAUAGAUAUUGUAUAUGACAGGAUUGCAUUACCAGGUUAAUUGUGAUUUUGCCCCAGGAAGGGUUAAAUGUAGAGGAGUUCUAUUGUGUUCAUGUUAAAUUCUCUUUUUUGACACAACACAACUUAUUUUUUUUACUUGUGUGCAACUAAAUAAGUUAUUUCACUACUUUGUUAGACAUUGUUACAGCCUGAACAAAUAUAAUAGCAAUGUAAAAUGUGGAUAUUCUUCAUGUUAGGGUCUGACAUCUAAGCGUCCUGAUGGCAAGGCAGACAAAUGCAAAUCUCUUUGAAACCGAAGAAUCUAUUGGAGAAAUAAGUGGUCGCCAACUGAAUGUGCUUCAAGCUAAUUUGAAUAUUUUAAUAGACCUUUCCUUGUUGAUACCCAAAUCUUUCUCCUCAAACAUUGUUUCCUAUCACUCCUUGGCUUGAUGAAAUCUCUGAUAUUUUUUCUUAUCAGAUGGUGUUGAAGGGAGAUAAUCGCAUUCAAUAAAAUCAAACUUUAAAUUUU